GGAUUAGAUACCCUGGUAGUCCACGCCGUAAACGAUGUGUGCUAGUUGUUGGAGUCUUAAGGCUUCAGUGACGCAGAGAAAUCAUUAAGCACACCGCCUGGGGAGUACGGCCGCAAGGUUAAAACUCAAAGGAAUUGACGGGGACCCGCACAAGCGGUGGAGCAUGUUCUUUAAUUCGAAGCAACGCGAAGAACCUUACCCACACUUGACAUCCUUCUUGGGACUUUCAGAGAUGAUUGUCUUCGGUUCGGCCGGGGAAGUGACAGGUGCUGCAUGGCUGUCGUCAGCUCGUGCCG
rnacentral:rRNA from 1 species